rnacentral:rRNA from 1 species
AUGAACGCUAGCGGCAGGCUUAAUACAUGCAAGUUGAGGGGCAGCAUGAUAUACGCGAGUAUAUUGAUGGCGACCGGCGGACGGGUGAGUAAUAGGUAGGAGACCUACCUCAUACAGGGGGAUAGCAUAGAGAAAUCUGUGGUAAUACCCCAUGAGGUUAUAUGAAUAGAGGCAUAUAAUCAAAGCAUAAGCGAUUAUGCGGUAUGAGAGGGGCCUACUGACCAUUAGCUAGUUGGUGAGGUAAGGGCUCACCAAGGCGAAGAUCGGUAGGGGUUUUGAGAGAGAGACCCCCCACAUUGGAACUGAGAGACGGUCCAGACUCCUACGGGAGGCAGCAGUAGGGAAUAUUGGGCAAUGGGCGAAAGCCUGACCCAGCCAUGCCGCGUGAAGGAAGACGGCCUUAUGGGUUGUAAACUUCUUUACUACGCGAAUAGAGGUUAGUACGAGAUACUAAUAGGAAGGUAGUGUAGUAAAAAGCACCGGCUAACUCCGUG